rnacentral:lncRNA from 1 species
GAAGGUCUGAAGGUUGGCUGAGAUGAUUCUGCUUUAGUUUCAGGUUUGCAAGUCAGCUGGGGCAGCUUGGAUCAAUCUGGCUCAUUUGGAGCCCUGGUUACCCAGCAUAUGCUCUUCUCAUGGCAAUGUCAGGAACACAAGAGAAAGAAGCCAACUAAACAAGCAUGUCUGAAGCCUUUGCUCAUCUCAUAUCUGCCAAUGUUCUAUCAAUAAAAUCAAGUCAACAGUCAAGCCAAAGUCAAGGAGAAUAUACCUGGCAGGCAUCUGGCUAUGGUCAAUUUGAAAAUAGAAGGCUUGGCAAGGUGGCUCACAACUGUAUUCUUCUUAGCACUUUGGGAGGCUGAAGUGGGAGGAUCAUUUGAGCCCAGGAGUUUGAGAUCAUCCUGGACAACACAGUGAGACUCCAUCUCUACAAGAUAAAUAUAUAAAUAAAUAAAUAAAUAAAUAAAUAAAUAAGACUGGUGCAGUGGCACAUGCCAGUAGUCCCAGCUACUUGGGAAGCUGAGGUGAAAGGAUCGCUUGAGCCCAGGAGGUCGAAGCUGCGGUUGUGAUCAUACCACUGCACUCCAGCCUGAGCAACAAAGACAAGGUAAGAUCCCCCCACUUUUU